rnacentral:rRNA from 1 species
GCGGCGUGCCUAAUACAUGCAAGUCGAGCGAACAGCUAAGGAGCUUGCUUCCUUU